rnacentral:rRNA from 1 species
UUGCAGUUAAAAAGCUCGUAGUUGGAUUUCUGCGGGGACGGGGCGGCCGGAUGCUUAUAGCAUCUCGAGCUAGCACUUCCCCUGCAUCCUGCCGCGAACCGUGCUACCAUUAGUUUGGUGGCGCUGGGGAUCGGCUCGUUUACUUUGAGAAAAAUAGAGUGUUCAAAGCAGGCCACACGCCUUGAAUAAGUUAGCAUGGAAUAAUGACUAAGGACUUUGGUUCUUUUCGUUGGUGUUCGGGACUGAAGUAAUGAUUGAUAGGGACAGUUGGGGCGGUCUGUAUUCCAAAGCGAGAGGUGAAAUUCUUAGACCUUCGGAAGACAAACAGCUGCGAAAGCGUUCCGCAAGGAUGUUCCCUUUGAUCAAGAACGAAAGUUGGGGGAUCGAAGACGAUCAGAUACCGUCGUAGUCUCAGCUAUAAACUAUACCAGCUAGGGAUCGGCCAACGUUUAAUUAUUCGACUUGGUCGGCACCUUAUGAGAAAUCAAAGCAUCUGGGUUCCGGGGGGAGUAUGGUCGCAAGGCUGAAACUUAAAGGAAUUGACGGAAGGGCACCACCAGCCGUGGAGCCUGUGGCUUAAUUUGACUCAACACGGGAAAACUUACCAGGUCCAGACAUAGUAAGGAUUGACAGAUUGAUAGCUCUUUCUUGAUUCUGUGGGGUGGUGGUGCAUGG